GACAGAGGGUGCAAACGUUGUUCGGAAUUACUGGGCGUAAAGCGUGUUUAGGCGGCCGCGUAAGUCGGAUGUGAAAGCCCUGGGCUCAACCCAGGAAGUGCACUCGAUACUGCGUGGCUCGAGUACUGGAGAGGUUGGUGGAAUUCUCGGUGUAGAGGUGAAAUUCGUAGAUAUCGAGAGGAACACCGGUGGCGAAGGCGGCCAACUGGACAGAUACUGACGCUGAGACACGAAAGCGUGGGGAGCAAACAGG
rnacentral:rRNA from 1 species